CGCGCAGGCGGUUGUUUAAGUCGAAUGUGAAAGCCCCCGGCUCAACUGGGGAGGGUCAUUCGAUACUGAUCGACUUGAAGGCAGGAGAGGGUAGUGGAAUUCCCGGUGUAGUGGUGAAAUGCGUAGAUAUCGGGAGGAACACCAGUGGCGAAGGCGACUACCUGGCCUGUUCUUGACGCUGAGGCGCGAAAGCUGGGGGAGCAAACGG
rnacentral:rRNA from 1 species